rnacentral:rRNA from 1 species
GGAAUAUUGGACAAUGGGGGCAACCCUGAUCCAGCCAUGCCGCGUGAGUGACGAAGGCCUUAGGGUUGUAAAGCUCUUUCACCGGUGACGAUAGUGACGGUAGCCGGAGCAGAAGCCCCGGCUAACUCCGUGCCAGCAGCCGCGGUAAGACGGAGGGGGCUAGCGUUGUUCGGAAUCACUGGGCGUAAAGCGCGCGUAGGCGGAUUAUCAAGUUGGGCGUGAAAGCCCGGGGCUCAACCCCGGAAUUGCGCCCAAAACUGGUUGGCUUGAGACCGAGAGAGGGUGGUGGAAUUCCCAGUGUAGAGGUGAAAUUCGUAGAUAUUGGGAAGAACACCAGUGGCGAAGGCGGCCACCUGGCUCGGAUCUGACGCUGAGGCGCGAAAGCGUGGGGAGCAAAC